GCCACUUUAGCUUAGUGGCAGAGCGUCUGCUUUGUGAGCAGAA
rfam:Perkinsus marinus ATCC 50983 gcontig_1104296572224, whole genome shotgun sequence.